UGGGGGAUAUUGCACAAUGGGCGCAAGCCUGAUGCAGCGACGCCGCGUGGGGGAUGAAGGCCUUCGGGUUGUAAACUUCUUUUGCUCUGAACAAGGCGCACUUUGGGGUGUGUUGAGUGUAGGGGUUGAUUAGCGCCGGCUAACUACGUGCCAGCAGCCGCGGUAAUACGUAGGGCGCGAGCGUUGUCCGGAAUUAUUGGGCGUAAAGGGCUUGUAGGUGGCUGGUUGCGUCUGUCGUGAAAGCUCAUGGCUUAACUGUGGGUUUGCGGUGGUACGGGCUGGCUUGAGUGCAGUAGGGGAGGCUGGAAUUCCUGGUGUAGCGGUGGAAUGCGCAGAUAUCAGGAGGAAUACCGGUGGCGAAGGCGGGUCUCUGGGCUGUUACUGACACUGAGGAGCGAAAGCAUGGGGAGCGAACAGG
rnacentral:rRNA from 1 species